rnacentral:rRNA from 1 species
GGAUUUUAAUAGUCGAACAGACUAACUCCCAAGCCUUUUACCUCUUGAAGAAAUCCUAAUUCAACAUCGAGGUCGUGAACACAGGUUUAAAUAGGAACUUCAAACCCUUUAGCACGCUGUUAGCCCUGAGGUAACUUAUCUUGUGUUUUAUAAUUUAAGGUCAUUUGUGAUUCUUAGAUAGAGUUUGUUAUAAAGAUGUGUUUAAGUUUACACCUUGUUUCCCCAACAAAACUUAUUUUAAGUUUAAACUUUAAUAUAAGCUAAGAUCUACAGGGUCUUCUCGUCUUCCAUUAAUAUUCCAGCAUUUUGACUAGAAAUUUAAUUUCUACUAAUUAUAACGAGACAGUCUAUUCCUCGUGAAUUCAUUCAUGCAAUCACUCAAUUAAAGUGCUAGUUAUUAUGCUACCUUUGCACGGUUGAAAUCCCGCGGCUCUUCAACGNAGUCAGUGAGCAGAUUUCAC